rnacentral:RNase_P_RNA from 1 species
UAAAGUGAGGAAAGUCCGUGCUCCUACAAUAGGUGCUGGAUAACGUCCAGUAGGGGUGACCCUAAGGCUAGUGCAACAGAGAUAUACCGCCUUAUUUAUAUAAGGUAAGGGUGGAAAGGUGAAGUAAGAGCUCACCAGCAUAUAAAUGAUUAUAUGGCUAUGUAAACCCCACCUGGAGCAAGAUCAAAUGGGGCAAGCAAUUGUCAGAUGGUAGAUCGCAUGAACUUAUUGGCAACAAUAAGGCUAGAUUAAUGAUUAGAUAACACAGAACACGGCUUAUAGGUUUACUCUU